rnacentral:rRNA from 1 species
AUUGAACGCUGGCGGCAGGCCUAACACAUGCAAGUCGAGCGGAAACGAUCCUAGCUUGCUAGGAGGCGUCGAGCGGCGGACGGGUGAGUAACGCGUGAGAAUCUACCCAUGAGUGGGGGACAACCCGGGGGAAACUCGGGCUAAUACCGCAUACGCCCUACGGGGUAAAGCAGGGGACCUUCGGGGCCUUGCGCUGAUGGAUGAGCUCGCGUCGGAUUAGCUUGUUGGUGAGGUAAAGGCUCACCAAGGCGACGAUCCGUAGCUGGUCUGAGAGGAUGAUCAGCCACACCGGGACUGAGACACGGCCCGGACUCCUACGGGAGGCAGCAGUGGGGAAUCUUGGACAAUGGGGGCAACCCUGAUCCAGCCAUGCCGCGUGUGUGAAGAAGGCCUUCGGGUUGUAAAGCACUUUCAGCAGGGAGGAAGGCUUACCCCUAAUACGAGUGAGUACUUGACGUUACCUGCAGAAGAAGCACCGGCUAAUUUCGUG